rnacentral:lncRNA from 1 species
CCUUCACAUUUUGGUCUUUUCAUUUACUUCUUGGCAAGCAUACUCAACUAUUACCUAUAACCAUGCAGAGAAACGAUAUGGUUGAGUACUUUGGUGAGCAGUUGUCUGGUUUUGCAUUCACUGUUAAUGGAUGGGUGCAAUCUUACGGAUCUCGAUGUGUCAAGCCACCAAUCAUCUACGGUGAUGUUAGCCGCCCCAAGCCAAUGACUGUUUUCUGGUCAUCUACUGCACAAAGCAUGACUGCACGCCCAAUGAAGGGAAUGCUUACUGGGCCCGUUACCAUCCUCAACUGGUC